rnacentral:lncRNA from 1 species
UGUGUCAAUAAUUUUGAAAAUCAGGGGGUUAUGAAUUGUUAGGGCGUGUGCAGAGUUGACGAUUUAGCAAGUGCUAAGAAAGUGUUGGAUGAAAUGCAUGUGAGAAAUGUGGUUUCUUGGAGUGCAAUGGUUUCCUGAUACAUUCUAAGGAGGAAAAAUAAUUUGCUGGCUUGCAUUAUGAUGACUAAAGAGUUUGCAAUAUAUGGCCGCAUUUUGAAGACAUUGCAGCCCUUGGGUAGCAAUUAUGCUGCUUCCAUGAGACAUAGUAAUCAUGGAAUUAUGAAGUGUAAUUAUUCUAUAGAUUAAAAUACUAUUCACAUAGCUUGUAUCUUGGAUAAUGUAUUGUACAAGAGAAGAACAUGAAAAAUAAGAAUAAUACAAUUUUUAAAUAGCAAA